rnacentral:sRNA from 1 species
CCCUCUUGGUUCCAAUUGAGGAAGUAAAAGUCGUAACAAGGUCUCCGUAGGUGAACCUGCGGAGGGAUCAUUACACAAAUAUGAAGGCGGGCUGGAACCUCUCGGGGUUACAGCCUUGCUGAAUUAUUCACCCUUGUCUUUUGCGUACUUCUUGUUUCCUUGGUGGGUUCGCCCACCACUAGGACAAACAUAAACCUUUUGUAAUUGCAAUCAGCGUCAGUAACAAAUUAAUAAUUACAACUUUCAACAACGGAUCUCUUGGUUCUGGCAUCGAUGAAGAACGCAGCGAAAUGCGAUAAGUAGUGUGAAUUGCAGAAUUCAGUGAAUCAUCGAAUCUUUGAACGCACAUUGCGCCCUUUGGUAUUCCAAAGGGCAUGCCUGUUCGAGCGUCAUUUGUACCCUCAAGCUUUGCUUGGUGUUGGGCGUCUUGUCUCUAGCUUUGCUGGAGACUCGCCUUAAAGUAAUUGGCAGCCGGCCUACUGGUUUCGGAGCGCAGCACAAGUCGCACUCUCUAUCAGCAAAGGUCUAGCAUCCAUUAAGCCUUUUUUUUCAACUUUUGACCUCGGAUCAGGUAGGGAUACCCGCUGAACUUAAGCAUAU